rnacentral:rRNA from 1 species
AUUGAACGCUGGCGGCAGGCCUAACACAUGCAAGUCGAGCGAGCGGCGGACGGGUGAGUAAUGUAUGGGGAUCUGCCUGAUGGAGGGGGAUAACUACUGGAAACGGUAGCUAAUACCGCAUACUAUAGGAUGAGCCCAAGUGGGAUUAGCUAGUGGGGGGGGUAAAGGCUCACCAAGGCGACGAUCUCUAGCUGGUCUGAGAGGAUGACCAGCCACACGGGGACUGAGACACGGCCCAGACUCCUACGGGAGGCAGCAGUGGGGAAUAUUGCACAAUGGGCGCAAGCCUGAUGCAGCCAUGCCGCGUGUAUGAAGAAGGCCUUAGGGUUGUAAAGUACUUUCAGCGGGGAGGCGUUACCCGCAGAAGAAGCACCGGCUAACUCCGUGCCAGCAGCCGCGGUAAUUC